rnacentral:ncRNA from 6 species
GCGUCCAUUGUCUAAUGGAUAGGACAGA